rnacentral:misc_RNA from 1 species
UUAAGUUCAGCGGGUAUCCCCACCUGAUCCGAGGCCAUACUUGAUGAAAUCAAGACCCAAAAGGCUGGUCACGAAUACUGUUGCGUACUGCUUCCAUCUUUGGAGUCUUCAUGUUUUUCGACCGCUCCCGGGCGGGAAUGGUCAACGCAAGGCUGAGCCUUAGGUUUAAAACGGCGCUCGAACAGGUGUGCCCCUCGGAA